GUCACGAUUGGGGGUCAACUGUCGCCAUUUUGGGGUCAAAGGGCACCGAUAUGUGGUCAAAGGUCACGAAUGGGGGUCAAAGGUCCCAUAUACGGGCUAAGAGGACACAGAUUUGGGGUCAAAGGUCAUAUUUUGGAAUCAAAGGUCGCCAUUUUGGGGUCAAAGGGUACAUAUAUGGGGUCAAAGGUCGCAUAUUUGGGGUCAAAGGUCACAUUUGGGAAUCAAAGGGCACCGAUAUGGGGUCAAAGGUCACAUAUAUGGGCUCAGGUGACACAGAUUUGGGGUCAAAGGUCACUUUUGGGGGUCAAAGGUCACGAUUGGGGGUCAACGGUCGCCAUUUUGGGGUCAAAGGUCACGAAUGGGGGUCAAAGGUCACAUAUAUAGGCUCAGGGGACACAGAUUUGGGGUCAAAGGUCGCAUAUUUGGGGUCAAAGGUCACAUAUAUGGGCUCAGGGGACACAGAUUUGGGGUCAAAGGUCAUAUUUUGGGGUCAAAGGUCACACUUUGGGGUCAAAGGUCACAUAUAUGGGGUCAGAGGUGGACAUGUGGGGUCAAAGGUCGCAUAUUUGGGGUCAAAGGUCACACAUAUGAGCUCAGGGGACACAUUUGAGGUCAAAGGUCGCCAUUUUGGGGUCAAAGGGUACAUAUUUGGGGUCAAAGGUCGCAUAUUUGGGGUCAAAGGUCACAUUUGGGGGUCAAAGGGCACCGAUAUGGGGUCAAAGGUCACAUUUGGGG
ensembl:lncRNA